GUAUUGGAACUUCUAGUGAGCAAUGCAAUACAAAACCUUCAAAUCUCAAAUUAUUCCAGAUAAAAAGUUGUCAUCACAAGUUCUUGAAAGCUGACUCAUGAGUAGGUUUCUGUGGGGUAAGUUUUGCCAAUAGCGCCUUGUUCGGACAAUGCUCCGCAUCAACAAAAUAAAAGUUUCCGUUAGCCUUGAAUGUUACAUAAGGUCUAUUGGUGUCAGGAUGCUUGAUAUCUGCAAACUUAAUCGUCUUCGGCAUAAAAGUUGCAAGCCAAGACAUCAUCUCCACUUCAAAAGAAUCUGAACCUGGCUUCCAUCUCAGUUUGUGAAUAUAAGGACUCACAAACCAGUGAAGCGCAGCGGUAGUAGAAGCACUGAAGAAUAUAACGGUAGAUGCAACUGCUCCCUUUAGUAUCACAUUUGAAUCAGUAGAUGUCAUGAAGGUUAUGACAGGGCCUAAAGACACAGAAAGGCAACAUGUUGAAAGGGACAGAAGCUUCACAUUCUUUAUUGUGUUUGAGAUAGGACCAUAGUAGACAACUCCGCCAUCCUUUUCAUCAUUUCCUCCUUCUCCUCCUUUGCGAGGCCCUAUGCUGAUCUUGUUGUCGUCUUGUGCUGUUGCAGACUGUGAUAGCCACCUUUUACGGAUAGCAGCUAGAUGUGUCACACAACUAGGGUCAGGUUUGGUACCACUGACAAGUGACCUAGUUCCAAAACUAGCCAGAUGACCACCUGAAUGAAAAUUGGUGGAUUUUAGUAGAUUCGCUUGAGAUCGAACUAAGUGAAAAAGGGUUCU
rnacentral:misc_RNA from 1 species